GGGGUUGUGGUUCAGUGGUAGCACACUUGCCUCACAUGCAUGAGGUACUGGGUUCAAUCCUCAGCACCA
rnacentral:tRNA from 1 species